AUGAAGAGGAUAACUUAUUCGCACCCCCCAAGCUGACCGACGAGGACUUCUCACCAUUUGGCUCUGGAGGCAGCCUGUUCAGUGGGGGCAAGGGGCUCUUUGAUUAUGAGGACGAGGAGGUGAGUCCAUGGCACUCAGCAACACUCCCUGCAGCUAGCUGUGUCAGGGGUCCACAGGGAAGAAAUAGGCUUUGCUUGUUGAGUGGGGAAAAACAGUUUCUCAGUUGGAAGUUGCUUCUAUUUUCAUAUUUUGGGACAUUUUGAACUAAGAAUCACAGAGUGAGAAAUGCCGUAUCCUUCUAUGCUUUGUUAGGUGAGGCGAAGAUGUGCACGUGUUAAUGUGAAUAAUUUACUAGGUGAUUGUUUCUUGCCUUAUCUGUUGUCUUCCAUGUUUGUUUUUAAUUCCUGGACAGGCCUAAAUUAUUUUAGAGUCUGAUUUUGCCAUAGUUAUCACUUUGCAACUGAUUUUCUGGCAGAGUAGUAAAUAUGUAGCUUUAAAUCUUGUAGGUUAUUUUUCCUUAGGAAUCCUCAAAUGCAGCUAUGCUUUCUCCUGGUUUUUUGAAUUCUUUGUCAUAUACCUUAUUUCAACCAGAGUGACCUCUUCACGGAAGCCCCCCAGGAUCGGCAUACCCCUUGCUUUCUCAUUCUAGAGUCUUCAUCAUCCAAACCUGGAAAGAAAAUCCUAGCAGGAGCUGUUUCUGUAUUUUUAGGAGACACGGAUGUGCUGCCUCCGUUCCAUCACUGAAGGAGCCACAGAAGCCUGAGCAGCCCACUCCAAGGAAAAGCCCCUACGUUCCCCUCCCACUGGCCUCUUUGAUGAUGAUGAUGGUGAUGAUGAUGACGACUUUUUCUCGACACCCCACAGCAAGCCUUCCAAAACAGGUAUGUGUUCCUGCCUCUGUGUCUAGGACUUCAGCCAGAAAAAGAAUGUUGCCUAAAUGGAAGAUAAGCUCACCUAGUUCUGUAUCUCUUAUAGUACCAGAAUCCCUUCUCCAGCAUUCCUGUCAUUGAGCUGUUGUGUCUGUACUUACAUAGGUGUGGUGCCUGGGAGGUCUGUUUUAUGACCCAAUCUUUUCUGCUCUGUAAGCUAAUUACUAUGAUUAUUUUCCUUAUAG
rnacentral:lncRNA from 1 species